GAUGAAGAAGGUAGCGAAAUGCGAUAAGUAAUGUGAAUUGCAGAAUUCAGUGAAUCAUCGAAUCUUUGAACGCACAUUGCGCCCGCCAGCAUUCUGGCGGGCAUGCCUGUUCGAGCGUCAUUUCAACCCUCGAGCCCCCCCGGGGGCCUCGGUGUUGGGGGACGGCACACCAGCCGCCCCCGAAAUGCAGUGGCGACCCCGCCGCAGCCUCCCCUGCGUAGUAGCACACACCUCGCACCGGAGCGCGGAGGCGGUCACGCCGUAAAACGCCCAACUUUCUUAGAGUUGACCUCGGAUCAGGUAGGAAUACCCGCUGAACUUAAGCAUAUCAAUAAGCGGAGGA
rnacentral:misc_RNA from 1 species